UAGGGAAUCUUCCACAAUGGGCGAAAGCCUGAUGGAGCAACGCCGCGUGUGUGAUGAAGGCUUUCGGUCGUAAAGCACUGUUGUAUGGGAAGAACAGCUAGAAUAGGAAAUGAUUUUAGUUUGACGGUACCAUACCAGAAAGGGACGGCUAAAUACGUGUCAG
rnacentral:rRNA from 1 species